rnacentral:rRNA from 1 species
UACGUAGGGUCCGAGCGUUGUCCGGAAUUACUGGGCGUAAAGAGCUCGUAGGUGGUUUGUCGCGUUGUUCGUGAAAACUCACAGCUUAACUGUGGGCGUGCGGGCGAUACGGGCAGACUUGAGUACUGCAGGGGAGACUGGAAUUCCUGGUGUAGCGGUGGAAUGCGCAGAUAUCAGGAGGAACACCGGUGGCGAAGGCAGCUCUCUGGGACGGUACUGACGCUGAGACGCGAAAGCGUGGGUAGCAAACAGG